rnacentral:rRNA from 1 species
GACGAACGCUGGCGGCGUGCCUAAUACAUGCAAGUAGAACGCUGAAGGAGGAGCUUGCUUCUCCGGAUGAGUUGCGAACGGGUGAGUAACGCGUAGGUAACCUGCCUGGUAGCGGGGGAUAACUAUUGGAAACGAUAGCUAAUACCGCAUAAGAGUAGAUGUUGCAUGACAUUUGCUUAAAAGUUGCAAUUGCAUCACUACCAGAUGGACCUGCGUUGUAUUAGCUAGUUGGUGAGGUAACGGCUCACCAAGGCGACGAUACAUAGCCGACCUGAGAGGGUGAUCGGCCACCAUGGGACUGAGACACGGCCCAGACUCCUACGGGAGGCAGCAGUAGGGAAUCUUCGGCAAUGGACGGAAGUCUGACCGAGCAACGCCGCGUGAGUGAAGAAGGUUUUCGGAUCGUAAAGCUCUGUUGUAAGAGAAGAACGAGUGUGAGAGUGGAAAGUUCACACUGUGACGGUAUCUUACCAGAAAGGGACGGCUAACUACGUG